GAUGAACGCUGGCGGCGUGCCUAAUACAUGCAAGUCGAGCGAACAGACGAGGAGCUUGCUGCUCGGACGUUAGCCGCAGACGGGUGAGUAACACGUGUAUAACCUACCUAUCAGACUGGGAUCACUUCGGGAAACCGGAUCUAAUACCGGAGAAUCUAUUGAAGCGCAGGGGUGAAUGGUGAAAGACGGCGUUGCUGUCACGUAUAGAUGGAUCCGCGCCGCAUGAGCUAGUUGGUAAGGUAACGGCUUACGACGGCAACGAUGCGCAGCCGACCGAAGAGGGUGAUCGGCCACACUGGAGCGGAGACACGGUCCAGACUCCUACGGGAGGCAGCAGUAGGGAAUCUUCCGCAACGGGCGAAAGCCUGACGGAGCAACGCCGCGUGAGUGAUGAAGGUCUUCGGAUCGUAAAACUCUGUUACUAGGGAAGAACAAAUGUGUAAGUAACUAUGCACGUCUUGACGGUACCUAAUCAGAAAGCCACGGCUAACUACGUG
rnacentral:rRNA from 1 species